rnacentral:rRNA from 1 species
CCUACGGGAGGCAGCAGUGAGGAAUAUUGGUCAAUGGCCGGGAGGCUGAACCAGCCAAGUCGCGUGAGGGAAGACGGCCCUACGGGUUGUAAACCUCUUUUGUCAGGGAGCAAGGUGCAGGUCGGGACCUGCUGUGAGAGUACCUGAAGAAAAAGCAUCGGCUAACUCCGUGCCAGCAGCCGCGGUAAUACGGAGGAUGCGAGCGUUAUCCGGAUUUAUUGGGUUUAAAGGGUGCGCAGGCGGAGGCACAAGUCAGCGGUAAAAUCGCGGGGCUCAACCCCAUCCAGCCGUUGAAACUGGGGAUGUAGAGUGUGCGAGAGGUAUGCGGAAUGCGUGGUGUAGCGGUGAAAUGCAUAGAUAUCACGCAGAACCCCGAUUGCGAAGGCAGCAUACCGGUGCACAACUGACGCUCAGGCACGAAAGCGUGGGUAUCGAACAGGAUUAGAUACCCUAGUAGUC